rnacentral:rRNA from 1 species
CCGAAAUCUAUUUAGGUAGAGCCUUGAGCGGACACCUUCGGGGGUAGAGCACUGUUUCGGCUAGGGGGUCAUCCCGACUUACCAAACCGAUGCAAACUCCGAAUACCAGUGAGUACUAUCCGGGAGACACACGGCGGGUGCUAACGUCCGUCGUGGAAAGGGAAACAACCCAGACCGCCAGCUAAGGUCCCAAAGUCUAUAUUAAGUGGGAAACGAAGUGGGAAGGCUUAGACAGCUAGGAUGUUGGCUUAGAAGCAGCCAUCAUUUAAAGAAAGCGUAAUAGCUCACUAGUCGAGUCGGCCUGCGCGGAAGAUAUAACGGGGCUCAAACUGUACACCGAAGCUACGGAUGCACUUUGUGCAUGGUAGAGGAGCGUUCUGUAAGCCGUUGAAGGUCAAGGUGUGAACCAGGCUGGAGGUAUCAGAAGUGCGAAUGCUGACA